GAUGAAGAACGCAGCGAAAUGCGAUAAGUAAUGUGAAUUGCAGAAUUCAGUGAAUCAUCGAAUCUUUGAACGCACAUUGCGCCCCCUGGUAUUCCGGGGGGCAUGCCCGUUCGAGCGUCAUUUCACCACUCAAGCCUCGCUUGGUAUUGGGCAACGCGGUCCGCCGCGUGCCUCAAAUCGACCGGCUGGGUCUUCUGUCCCCUAAGCGUUGUGGAAACUAUUCGCUAAAGGGUGUUCGGGAGGCUACGCCGUAAAACAACCCCAUUUCUAAGGUUGACCUCGGAUCAGGUAGGGAUACCCGCUGAACUUAAGCAUAUCAAUAAGCGGAGGA
rnacentral:misc_RNA from 1 species